rnacentral:rRNA from 1 species
GACGAACCGUCCAAACGUUAUUCGGUAUCACUGGGCUUAAAGAGUUCGUAGGCGGCUCCGUAGGUGAGGUGUGAAAUCCCUCGGCUUAACCGAGGAAUUGCGCUUCAAACCGUGGAGCUAGAGGUAGACAGGGGUAAGCGGAACAGAUGGUGGAGCGGUGAAAUGCGUUGAUAUCAUCUGGAACACCGGUGGCGAAAGCGGCUUACUGGGUCUUUACUGACGCUGAGGAACGAAAGCUAGGGUAGCGAACGGG